UCCGGUUGAUCCUGCCAGAGGCCGCUGCUAUCCGGCUGGGACUAAGCCAUGCUAGUCUAGGGGCUUGUACUCCUUCGGGGGUGCAAGCACCGGCGGACGGCUCAGUAACACGUGGACAACCUGCCCUCGGGUGGGGGAUAACCCCGGGAAACUGGGGCUAAUCCCCCAUAGGUGAUGGGUGCUGGAAUGCCCCAUCUCCGAAAGCGCUUAGCGCCCGAGGAUGGGUCUGCGGCGGAUUAGGUAGUUGGUGGGGUAACGGCCCACCAAGCCUAAGAUCCGUACGGGCUGUGGGAGCAGGAGCCCGGAGAUGGACCCUGAGACAAGGGUCCAGGCCCUACGGGGCGCAGCAGGCGCGAAACCUCCGCAAUGCGGGAAACCGCGACGGGGUUAGCCGGAGUGCCCGUGCAUUGCACGGGCUGUCGGGGUGCCUAAACAGCACCCCAUAGCAAGGGCCGGGCAAGGCCGGUGGCAGCCGCCGCGGUAAGACCGGCGGCCCGAGUGGCGGCCACUCUUAUUGGGCCUAAAGCGUCCGUAGCCGGCCCAGUAAGUCCCCCGGGAAAUCUGGUCGCUUAACGAUCAGACUUCCGGGGGAUACCGCUGGGCUAGGGACCGGG
rnacentral:rRNA from 1 species